GUUUGGCAUGGUGGCGCAUACCUGUAGUCCCAACUACUUAUACUUAGGAGCCUGAGGCGGGAGGAUUGCUUGAAGACAUCUAGAAUUUCUGGACUGAAGUGUGCCAUUGCCGAUUGGGUGUUCACAUUAAGUUCAGUAUCAGUAUGGUGACCCCACAGGAAUGGUAGACCACCAGGUUGCCUAAGGAGGGGUGAACUGGCCCAGGUCAGAAAAGGAGCAGGUCAAAACUCCUGUGCUGAUCAGUAGUGGGAUUGCUCCUGUGAAUAGCCACUGCCUUCCAGCCUGGGCAACAGUGAGACCUUGCCUCU
rnacentral:SRP_RNA from 1 species